rnacentral:rRNA from 1 species
CCUGAGUGUACGAAUCUAUUGCUGCAGUUAAAGAGCUCGUAGUCGACCUGUGGUUUGCAAAUUGUUGUGUGCGUGUCCUUUUUGGAUGUGCAUGCGUGCAGGCCUCGCCAUGUAAUGUGGCGGACACCUUGAUUAAAUCGGACUGCUCAAAGGAAUUUUUGAAAAAUUGUACGUGCAGCUCGGAAUGUCGUUAGGCGCGCAUCGUUGUUUGAUGUGUGCAUGCGUGACAAGAGCGGAUGGGGCGGGUGAGAUUGCCAAGACAGCGGUGAAAUGCGUGGACCUUGGCAGGAUCAACAACAGCGAAGGCAACCCGCAAAGACGUGUCUGUUGA